AGGGCGCACAGUCAGUGGGGGUAGACGCGAAACCAAGUGAUCUACACUUGGCCAGGAUGAAGUCCCGGUAACACGGGAUGGAGGUCCGCACCAAUAAGCGUUGAAAAGCUUCUGGAUGAGCCGAGUGUAGGAGUGAAAGGCCAAUCAAACUUGGAGAUAGCUCGUACUCCCCGAAAGGCAUUUAGGUGCCGCGUCGGAUGGUCACCGUGAGAGGUAGAGCGACCGAUAGGACAAGAGGGCUUCACCGCCUAUCGAGUCCUGACGAACUCCGAAUGCUCACGGUUUGCAGUCCGGCAGUAAGGGGGCGGGUGCUAAGGUCCGUCCCCGAGAGGAGAAGAAUCCAGACCGCCGUCUAAGGUCCCGGAGUUCUGCCUGAGUUAGUCUAACGAAGUCUGGUCCCUAUGACAGCUAGGAUGUUGGCUUGGAAGCAGCCAUUCAUUCAAAGAGUGCGUAACAGCUCACUAGUCGAGGGUCCGGGCAUGGAUAAUAAUCGGGUAUAAGGCAGACACCGAAGGCGCGGGAUAGCAAUAUUAAAAGUAUCGGUAGGGGAGCAUACUCACAGCGUCGAAUGGUGUACGUAAGUUAUCCUGGAGCGGUGAGUAAAGCAAAUGUAGGAAUAAGUAACGAUAAGGAGGGUUAGAUUCCCUCCCGCUGUAAGACCAAGGUUUCCCGGGCAAUGCCAAUCAGCCCGGGGUCAGUCGGGUCCUAAGUCUAAGCCGAACGGCGAUGGCGAUGGCAGAGACGGUUAAUAUUCCGUCACUGCCGCAUGGGGCGACGUGGAGACGGAGCAGUGAAACCACCGCGGGGCGACGGAAGUCCCCGUUGAAG
rnacentral:rRNA from 1 species